rnacentral:pre_miRNA from 1 species
AAACCGCCCCCUAAGUUUUGCAAUUGUAGCUGUUUUGGCCCCCGAAGACCAAUUUUUAGUAAAAAAAAAAAACAUGUGGCGCCUCACUUAAGGUGCUACGUCAGCAUAGACCGAGUCAAAAUUGGUCUUGGAGGCCAAAACUGCCACAUAUGCAAAACUUAGGGGCGGUUU